CCGGGCGGAUGUUCUCAUUGGAUAAUUAAGUAAAGGUCGGCCAUCUUGUGGUGCAUUUACAUGAGGUGUUUUGUUAGGCACCACGUGGACGUUCCUGUGCUGAAAACCAUCGGUUGGGUUUAAAUGCAGAGCCUUGAAUUUUCCAAGGAAAGGUUUAUGGCAGCCUGAAAUACCAAGCUGAGUCAAAGAAGGAGAGAGGAAGUGAUCUCUGAAAUAAACUGACAAGCAGAGAUAACCAAACACAUCCAAAAAAGGGGACUGAGAUGGAUCUGAGAGGCCCAUGUCAUUCUUGGCAAAGAUCCGGAAGUGGUACUGAACCCCAGAGCGGAUGUUGUUGACCGUGUGCGUGUUGGCGAAGAGGCGG